GAAAUAUAAAUAUUAAAACUUCUAAUUUUAAAAUAUAGUGAUAUAAUUCAUUAAUAUUUCU
rnacentral:tRNA from 1 species